CUACAAACAUUAAAAGGCCUGUCCUCCAGACAACGAGAUUUGCUCGAACUACAAAUGAAGAGGAUUACAUGACUGAAAAGAAGAUUGCAUGGAGAUAAUGGCCAUUCCCACUUUGUAAGACAUGAAAAGAAAGAAAGGGAAACGUUUUUGCUUCUUCAUCAGGGACUUUGCUUUAAAUAUUUACUCAAGUAAAGAUGAAAUCAUA